GUGCCAGCAGCCGCGGUAAUACAGAGGGUGCAAGCGUUGUCCGGAAUCACUGGGCGUAAAGGGCGCGUAGGCGGCCUGAUAAGUCGGGGGUGAAAUUCUGCGGCUUAACCGCAGGACGGCCUUCGAGACUGUCGGGCUUGAGCACGGUAGAGGCUGGUGGAAUUCCCGGUGUAGCGGUGGAAUGCGUAGAGAUCGGGAAGAACAUCGGUGGCGAAGGCGGCCAGCUGGGCCGUUGCUGACGCUGAGGCGCGACAGCGUGGGGAGCAAACAGGAUUAGAUACCCUGGUAGUCC
rnacentral:rRNA from 1 species